rnacentral:rRNA from 1 species
GAUGAACGCUGGCGGCGUGCCUAAUACAUGCAAGUCGAACGAAACUUCUUUAUCACCGAGUGCUUGCACUCACCGAUAAAGAGUUGAGUGGCGAACGGGUGAGUAACACGUGGGCAACCUGCCCAAAAGAGGGGGAUAACACUUGGAAACAGGUGCUAAUACCGCAUAACCAUAGUUACCGCAUGGUAACUAUGUAAAAGGUGGCUAUACUACCGCUUUUGGAUGGGCCCGCGGCGCAUUAGCUAGUUGGUAGGGUAAAGGCUUACCAAGGCAAUGAUGCGUAGCCGAAUUGAGAGGUUGAUCGGCCACAUUGGGACUGAGACACGGCCCAAACUCCUACGGGAGGCAGCAGUAGGGAAUCUUCCACAAUGGGCGAAAGCCUGAUGGAGCAACGCCGCGUGGGUGAAGAAGGUCUUCGGAUCGUAAAACCCUGUUGUUAGAGAAGAAAGUGCGUGAGAGUAUCUGUUCACGUUUCGACGGUAUCUAACCAGAAAGCCACUGCUAACUACGUG